UAAACUCGACAUUAGCGCCACGGAGACUGA
rnacentral:sRNA from 1 species